rnacentral:rRNA from 1 species
UACAGAGGUCUCAAGCGUUGUUCGGAUUCAUUGGGCGUAAAGGGUGUGUAGGUGGCGCCGUAAGUCGGGUGUGAAAUUUCGGAGCUUAACUCCGAAACUGCAUUCGAUACUGCGGUGCUUGAGGACUGGAGAGGAGACUGGAAUUCAUGGUGUAGCAGUGAAAUGCGUAGAGAUCAUGAGGAAGACCAGUGGCGAAGGCGGGUCUCUGGUCAGUUCCUGACACUGAGACACGAAGGCCAGGGGAGCAAACGGG